CACAUACACAGAGCACAAUUCCAGCCUGCUGACUAAUUCCCUGGAAACCCUGGGGCUGCACAAUGAGAAAGCCUUUCCGAGGGUUUCUCGAGCGUUACUGGAAGGUCAGGCGAAGCUACAGGUUGUUGCAAGGCAGAGGGAUAUUUGUGCACAGCCCUGCUGAGCUGGCUGGUGGUGAGCUGCAGCUGAGAAGAUGAAGCCAAGCAACAGCCCCUGGCUGCGGGUGCCCCUCAGAGCCCAUGGCAGCACCUAUAGAUGAACACCAGCAGGGCUGUGUGAGUGCCACCAUGGAGAGGCAACUGCCCAUGCACCACCGCAAGUGUGUGCUCAGCCAAGGUUGCAGCUUAGCUUCUGCCAGUCCUGGUUUCUGCAUCCUUUGUCAGCCCAAUUACCCCCAAAACCAUCCUGGCAAACCCUCAGCUGUGUGCCAUUUUUGGUGCAGAUUUGCCAGCUUCAGGGACAGACAUGCCCAGGAUGGCCUCAUCCACAUGGAAACAAGCCCUGCUUGCAGCUGGAGGAAUCUUGAUUAAGCAGGGAGAGAAGUGGGGACUGGCUGCCAGGCAGAUACCCUAAACAAGAGGAGCUUAUCAGCUCUGUUUCCAAGAUGAGACAUGUGUCACCACCUUGCAGAGAUCCAGCCAGCCGCUUACUGCUCACCAGCACGCCUGUACAGAAGCAGGGCAGCUUCCCUCUCCCCACAGGAUGCUGUAGAAAUAGCCACUGAAUAAUGUGCAAAAUAUCUUCUAGAAAAGGCUUUGCUCGAGCUAAGGAAAGCAUUGCACCCAGAAUGCUUCAGGGAAAAGCGCUGGAUGGGAAUGGGAGCCAGCAUGCAGCUGUGCUCCCAGCCUGUGUGUUUGUCAGUGGCCGGCCCCAGCAGCAGCACAGGAGGUCCCCAGCCCAGAAACACCAAGUGCCGUGGACACCAAGGGACUGCUCCCCCGGCACACAUGCAGCACGGCCCGACACGGCUAAUCCUUCCUGUAUAUUAUGUAAUAAAAUGCUUUCUAGA